ACGCUCGACACCUACAGGCAGCAGUCGGGAAUAUUGCGCAAUGGAGGAAACUCUGACGCAGUGACGCCGCGUAUAGGAAGAAGGUUUUCGGAUUGUAAACUAUUGUCGUUAGGGAAGAGAAAGGACAGUACCUAAGGAGGAAGCUCCGGCUAACUACGUGCCAGCAGUCGCGGUAAUCUGAGCGGGCUGGCAAGGC
rnacentral:rRNA from 1 species